rnacentral:rRNA from 1 species
UACAGAGGUCUCAAGCGUUGUUCGGAUUCAUUGGGCGUAAAGGGCGCGUAGGUGGCGCGGUAAGUCGGGUGUGAAAUCUCGGAGCUUAACUCCGAAAUUGCAUUCGAUACUGCCGUGCUUGAGGACUGGAGAGGAGACUGGAAUUCAUGGUGUAGCAGUGAAAUGCGUAGAGAUCAUGAGGAAGACCAGUGGCGAAGGCGGGUCUCUGGACAGUUCCUGACACUGAGGCACGAAGGCCAGGGGAGCAAACGGG